rnacentral:rRNA from 1 species
GUGUCAGCAGCCGCGGUAAAACGUAGGACGCAAGCGUUAUCCGGAGUUACUGGGCGUAAAGCGCAAGCAGGCUGUCUCGCAAGUGGGGCGUGAAAGCUCUCGGCUAAACCGGGAGAGGCCGUUCCAAACUGCGGGACUGGAGCACAGCAGAGGUAGGCGGAAUUCCGGGUGGAGUGGUGAAAUGCGUAGAGAUCCGGAGGAACACCAGAGGCGAAGGCGGCCUACUGGGCUGUGACUGACGCUGAGAUGCGACAGCUAGGGGAGCGAACGGGAUUAGAAACCCCAGUAGUCC